UGCCGGUUCAUUUGAAGCGUCACAAAUGUAUUCAUGUACAGAAGGUUUUUCAGGCUUUUAAAAGUUUCCAGAUUGUCUUAUAGCAAAUCUUAAUGUGGUUUCAAUUAAUAGCUUACAGACAAAGUUACACAAAGAACAACUAUGCUCCAGCGCCAUUAUGAUUCAGACUCUUUGUUACCACAUACCAUACUAAGUUCUGGUGCAUACCACUCCAGCAGCUCAUGAUGUUUUAAUUAAUCAGUCUGUCUUUAUUAAAAUUUCUCAAAAGUGAUCAUAGUUUAAACAUAACUCAUCUGUCAAACUGGAUGGAAGUGAUGUGACUAAGAAGAGUUGCACUACACCAGUUCAGAAGAUGAUCUUCAGCACAGAACUGUCUCUAGGUAAAUGCUUUUUUUAAAAACGAAAACAACUUUCACUUGAAGUUGGACUUUUGCACAAUUUAAAAACCUAGACAUAUGAGCUAGAUCUGACUUCCCCGAGUAGCACAGCACAUGGCACCCUAAGGGCUGUGAUCACUGUGAAUGAGCUCCAGAUAGUGCCUCCAUUGAUGGGAGAAUCUUACAAAGAAGCAAUCGGUACAUGAUCACAGUGGAGGAGCUACCAGACUGAGAGAACUCCUUAGGUGAUUUUGUGCCAGAAAAACUCCCAGAGAAGCAUGGGAUGCACAACUUGACUCAACAAACAUGAAACUAUUUGAUCAAAACUCCCCCAAACCUCUUGGGAGGAAAAACACAGUCACUGAUUAAGACCAUCCUAUAAGACCACUACGCAGAUGGCUUCCUCAGAUUUGAAACAUGAAUUCCAGGUAUAAAGUCCAUGCUUUUAAAAUUUAACAUUUUCCAUUUUAUUUUUAUUUCAAAUGUAUCCAUUUUUUUCCACAUAUAAAUGGAAAAGUUUACUUUUAUUUUACGAUAAAUAGCUGCAUACUACCAUACUUUUUUCUGUUUCUGUGCAUAAAAUUAUACCACUUUACAGAAGAAACGUACAGUCAAUUUAAAUGAACAUUCCCAAGCAAAAAAACAAAAAAAACAAAAAAAACACAAAAAACAAACAAAAAAAUCCCCCCAAACAAUUGGCUUUGAUUGAUGCAAGUCAAGGACUCCAGUUCUCGAUAAUGGUGAAAAAAACUAAGGCUUUUAAUCUAGUGAGCAGGAACAGAUAGAACCUGUAAAAAAUAUUUCUUUUACUAUUGAAAGCAAGUUGUUUUGUCAGAACCAAAUGCGAAUAUAGUUUUAAAGUUGAAUCAAAAAUGUAUUUUAUUUAGCUUUGAUGUUUCUCCCUUGCUAAUUGUGUAAACAUUUUGAAAGCUUAACUGCUGUUCAAACCCAAGAUUUUUAAUUUCAUUUUUAGAUAUUUUCAAUAUCUAUGUGAAAUAAGAAAAUAUAAAAUAAAAUAACAGUAAAUGUACUGAGAAAAUGUUAUGUUCUGUAUCUUUCACUCUUUUUUCCCUCUUGCCACUGAAAACAAAAAGUGGAAUAAAGGUAAUGCUGCUAACCUAUCCACAACUGCCCUGGCUCUGCCACAUGUCAAAGUUUGAGGGGCCUAUGAGGGAAGAACGGUGAACAAACGUGUAUUUUUAGACAUGGGAAUGUACAGCUUCAGAGCCUGUCACACUGAUUACAAGAAAAAAAAAAAAAAAAGUACAGUGGGAGGUAUACCCUGUGAGGUUAGGGCUACACCUCCUGGACACGACAACACUGAAAUGACAGCCUAACAAAAAUCCACAGGAAUGAACCUCAGGCCAGCUGGGCUCUGUCUGUGUGUUCUGGACCUGGGUGUGGCACGGCCGAUGGAGGAAAGGCGCGGCCGGGAGAAGGAAAAAGAAUCACAGUAGAGCGGGAUGAAAGAGAAUGGAGACAGCUUGCUUUUCCUUUCUCCUACUGCCAAAUGACAGGCAAACCCAGCCAACGUACACAGUCAACCACACUCUCAGGCAGUGAGACCACACCGAUACGUACCAGCAACUGGGUCAACAUCCAGGAGCAAACCAGAGCAGCAUGGGUCGGAAGACAGUGUGAUGAGAGCCGGCACCACUCUCUGAGCUACCAGCGUCUCAUUCACCCCCUUCACCAGCAGCUGAUCGGAUUGGACAGAGCCAGCCGUGAAGUCACAUAGCUCUACAAAGGAGGCCUUCAGGCUGUCAAGAGGAGCAUGAGACAGAGAGAGAGUCGUCAUGACAUCCUCCAGGAAUCCCACCAACAGCUUGCGGUCUUCCUCCUGCAUAGAUUUGAUCAGUCACAUCAUCAGAAUACAUAUCAAACUAAUAUACUAGCAUUUUCAUAUCCACAUAUGUAUGUACUUUUAGAAGAGUAGGAGGCACCAAAAUGAAAAUUUGGGAUGAAAACAGAUAUUAAUACUGCUGUUAUGUUAUGAGAAAAAAGUGAUAAAAAAAACUUAGACUGAUAUGUCAAAAUAUUACUAAUGUCGGUCGAUACCGAUGCUAAUGAUGUAUAAUGCAUCCCUGGUUCCAAUACACAAAAUGAUUAUCCUUUUACUGUAUUAACGUUUUUAAGCAUUUCCUAAAUUUGUGUUAUUUACAAGAAAUUAGACUUUUUUCAAUCUAAUUUUCUGGUACCCGGUGUGCAAUUACACAAUGCAUAAAGAUACUAGAUUUAGAAGAAAAAUUAAUCAAUAUCAUUAUGAAAAAAACAGCAUGUUUGCUGAUGCAUUUUCGGUUGAGUGAAAAAAAAGAAAAGAACA